GGCACUACAAGUGACAUGCCACUGGGCAGGAUUUUUAUUUCAUUUGCAAUGAAUGAAGAAGCACAGCUCUGAAAGACUGAAUUCCCAGCACUGGGUGUCAGCUCUACCAAAUGCGGUACAGAUUGCAAUCUGACCACAGAAUCUCACCACAAAGAAUGCCGGGGUCUCCUCUGAUUAUAGCUACUGGCUAUAAGUUCUAACUAGGGUUUAAUGCAAAUUUUCCCUGUAGUCUGCUUGGGGAGUUGGCCUCAUUCUUGAAUUUUUCUCAGAAAGUUAUUGCCAAAAAUGUGAGUUCUCACCGCAGUGAAAGAGGAAAUCCAGCUAUGAGCAUAUAUAAUACAGGAGAAAGAAUGCAGAGAAAACACAUUCUUUUCUUGCUACUCAGUUGCCAGAGAAGUAUAUCUAUAAUAUUUUCAGUUGUGAUGCUAUGUCCCAUUGAAUUCAACCACACAUUGGAAAAAUCAGUUUACCCUAGAAUCUAGUUAUUGUUGUGGUACAGUUUAAUUUUUGUCAAAUAAUUCUUUCUAAAAUUUCUAAUGUAAGUCUUUAAUUUUCAAGAUAUUUUGCUUAGAAGAUGAUAUGGUUUGGCUGUGUCCCCACCCAAAUCUCACCUUGAAUUCCCAGGUGUUGUAGGGGGCAGGUCUUUCCUGUGCUGUUCUUGUGAAAGUGAGUAAGUCUCAUGAGAUCUGAAGGCUUUGAAAAACAGGAAUCUCCCUGUACAAGCUCUCUCUUUGCCUGCUGCCAUCCAUGUAAGACGUGACUUGCUCCUUCUUGUCUUCUG
rnacentral:lncRNA from 10 species